rnacentral:ncRNA from 1 species
UUUAAGUUUUAUUCUUGCUUAAUUUGUUCAUUUUAACAUUAAUCUAUAUGUAAAUUUUUGUACAUUAAAUUUUCUCAAAGAAAUUUUGAUUUAUAAUUUGGGCAGUAGAUAAUUUUAUUGAUAUUAAGUUAAUUUAGAUUUGGUAAAUGUUACUAGAUUUGGUAAAAGCUGUGCCAGCAUCCGCGGUUAUACAGCAAAAUCAAAUGAACACUAUUGGUUUUGAAGUAAUUAAUAUUAAAUUUUUUUUGAACAAGUACUAUGUUAUUAUAAGGUGAAAUAUUUAUAAUAUUUUGAAGUAUGUUUUUAUAGUAUGAUUGUUAUGAAAAUAAAAAUGUAAACUAGGAUUAGAUACCCUAUUAUUUUUAUUGUAAAAUUCUAAGCUAGAGUAUUAGUAGAUACGGUCUUGAAACUUAAAGAAUUUGGCGGUAUUAUAGUCUAUUUAGAGGAAUCUGUUAUGUAAUCGAUAGUCCACGUUGAACCUUACUUAUUUAAUUUCUUGUAUACCGCUGUUUAUGAAUAUACUUUUAGGUUAUUUUCAAGAUAUAAAAGUAAUUAAUAUUUCAAGUCAAGGUGCAGUAAUAUAUAAGUUGAAUAAUGGAUUACAAUAAGUUUUAUUUAUACGGAUUAUUAUUGAAAUAUAAUUUGAAGGUGGAUUUAAUUGUAAUUUUAUAAAGAUUAAUAAAAUGAUUUAUAGCUCUAUAAUAUGCACACAUCGCCCGUCACUCUCGUUAAUUAAGAUGAGAUAAGUCGUAACAAAGUAAGUGUAUCGGAAGGUGUACUUAGGAAGUAUUGU